AACGAACGCUGGCGGCAGGCUUAACACAUGCAAGUCGAGCGCCCCGCAAGGGGAGCGGCAGACGGGUGAGUAACGCGUGGGAAUCUACCCAUCUCUACGGAAUAACGCAUGGAAACGUGUGCUAAUACCGUAUACGUCCUUCGGGAGAAAGAUUUAUCGGAGACGGAUGAGCCCGGGUUGGAUUAGCGAGUUGGUGGGGUAAAGGCCUACCACGGCGACGAUCCAUAGCUGGUCUGAGAGGAUGAUCAGCCACACUGGGACUGAGACACGGCCCAGACUCGUACGGGAGGCAGCAGGGGGGAAUAUUGGACAAUGGGCGCAAGCCUGAUCCAGCCAUGCCGCGUGAGUGAUGAAGGCCCUAGGGUUGUAAAGCUCUUUCACCGGUGAAGAUAAUGACGGUAACCGGAGAAGAAGCCCCGGCUAACUUCGUGCCAGCAGCCGCCGUAAGAC
rnacentral:rRNA from 1 species